AUACGGAGGGUGCAAGCGUUACUCGGAAUCACUGGGCGUAAAGCGCGCGCAGGCGGCUAUUUAAGUUGGAUGUGAAAGCCUACGGCUCAACCGUAGAACUGCAUCCAAAACUAUUUAGCUAGAGUGUGGGAGAGGAAGAUGGAAUUAGUCGUGUAGGGGUAAAAUCCGUAGAGAUAACUAGGAAUACCAAAAGCGAAGGCAAUCUUCUGGAACACUACUGACGCUGAGGCGUGAAAGCGUGGGGAGCAAACAGGAUUAGAUACCCCAGUAGUCC
rnacentral:rRNA from 1 species